rnacentral:lncRNA from 1 species
GGAGGCCUAGUACUGGCUUUCUGUGCGUGUUAGUUCUCUUUUUUUUGUAUACUGCAAUAAUCUCUUUCAUUUUUCUUUCUUUUGAAAUAGGUUUAGGUACUGUACUUAAUGCUGAACAGUGGCAAAUUGUGUCAUGGCAUUGUGAUGAAGACAAAUACUUUGAGGAGAGGAGAAAUCUGAAAUUUUCACUUGCAUACUGAACUCUGAAGAGACGAAAGGCUUACCAUCAGUGGGCUCUGGAGAACUUCUGUCAGCUGGCUUUGCUCAGCAGAAGAUCCUUGCAGUCUCAUGAAAGGAACUGUUCUUGGACAACGUCCAAUUUUUAUUCAGGCCAUAUGCAAAGUCCUCAAAAAUAUCCUUUCCAAAUGCAUGUCGCUAUAUGGAUUUCUGGUUAUUGGAUGCUUCAGGUAAGUUUUAAGAAAGGCUGGUUUGCUAUUUCUAUUGGGAAAGUAGCGUACUUGU